UAUCCUUAAAAGAACCAUCGCCUCUGCCCUCCUGAACCCGAGGACGCGACGGCAUGAACCGGCAGCUGUCUGUCUCUCACGCGCCAUCGGCUUGUCAAGAUGGGAGAAAUUGGAAAGGAAGCAGACCAGGCUUGGCAAAUGUCCAAAGGAAUGGAUGUUGGGUGAUCAAAAGUUUGAAAUCCUGUUAUGGUUAUUGACUUGUGAUCCAAGGUUCUUGAUGCAUAAUGUCCAUUUUGAAUUGCAUGGAUAUUGGAGAAUGAAACCAGCCAAGAAUUGAUCCAACACGUUGGGAAUCAACAGUGGUGGUAUUAAAUGGAUGGAUGUAUUGGACAAGCAACUGGUCUUUUUGAUGCGAGCCCUGGUCCAUAGUGGUGUAAAUUAUGGAAAUCCACAUUAAAUGGUUGAAAGAUGCAGGCCAGAUGUAGUGCAAAUUAAAUCUCUUGUAGAUUCAGCUUUUGAAUCUUGUUUGUGGGGAAUGGUUCCCUUAAGUGGUAAAGGACUAUACAUUUCUGAUCCUGUGUAAAAUGAGCAAGGC
rnacentral:lncRNA from 1 species